GAUGAACGCUGGCGGCGUGCCUAAUACAUGCAAGUCGAGCGAACGGACGAGAAGCUUGCUUCUCUGAUGUUAGCGGCGGACGGGUGAGUAACACGUGGAUAACCUACCUAUAAGACUGGGAUAACUUCGGGAAACCGGAGCUAAUACCGGAUAAUAUUUUGAACCGCAUGGUUCAAAAGUGAAAGACGGUCCUGCUGUCACUUAUAGAUGGAUCCGCGCUGCAUUAGCUAGUUGGUAAGGUAACGGCUUACCAAGGCAACGAUGCAUAGCCGACCUGAGAGGGUGAUCGGCCACACUGGAACUGAGACACGGCCCAGACUCCUACGGGAGGCAGCAGUAGGGAAUCUUCCGCAAUGGGCGAAAGCCUGACGGAGCAACGCCGCGUGAGUGAUGAAGGUCUUCGGAUCGUAAAACUCUGUUAUUAGGGAAGAACAUAUGUGUAAGUAACUGUGCACAUCUUGACGGUACCUAAUCAGAAAGCCACGGCUAACUACGUG
rnacentral:rRNA from 1 species